rnacentral:tRNA from 1 species
AGGACGAUUGCUCCGCCUGAAAAGCGGAAGGUCGGCGGUUCGACCCCGCCCCUGACCA